GCCUCCCUGGCGGAAUUGGUAGACGCGACGGAUUCAAAAUCCGUUUCUGGCAACAGAGUGCCGGUUCGAGUCCGGCGGGAGGCACCA
rnacentral:tRNA from 1 species